GACGAACGCUGGCGGCAUGCCUAACACAUGCAAGUCGAACGAGACCUUCGGGUCUAGUGGCGCACGGGUGCGUAACGCAUGGGAACCUGCCCUUAGGUUCGGAAUAACUCCCCGAAAGGGGUGCUAAUACCGGAUAAUGUCUUCGGACCAAAGAUUUAUCGCCUUUGGAUGGGCCCGCGUUGGAUUAGCUAGUUGGUAGGGUAAAAGCCUACCAAGGCGACGAUCCAUAGCUGGUCUGAGAGGAUGAUCAGCCACACUGGGACUGAGACACGGCCCAGACUCCUACGGGAGGCAGCAGUGGGGAAUAUUGGACAAGGGGCGAAAGCCUGAUCCAGCAAUGCCGCGUGAGUGAUGAAGGCCUUAGGGUUGUAAAGCUCUUUUACCCGGGAUGAUAAUGACAGUACCGGGAGAAUAAGCUCCGGCUAACUCCGUG
rnacentral:rRNA from 1 species